GUCAUGGCGGCGGUCACGUCAUGGCGGCGGUGUCCCUUUUAGAAGUUAAAAUAAAACUAUGUCAAGUUUCCGUCUAAACGCUGCCGCCGUAUUACUUAAGACGGGCGAGUCGGGUUGGAGGAGUCUAGCGUUGGCGCCGUUUUGACAGUCGCGGGCGAGUCAACCACCCACGAAAGAAGGGGCUCAUCCAGAAACGACUCGCCCUCUGUAAUUCUGCCCGUCCGCAGCCAAUAAAGAUAAGAGGCCGACGUCUGGAAUGCCGCGGGAAGGUGACACUGAGGAGAUGGAGAAAAGGAAAAGACACAUCGUGACACUCUGUCACCCAUUCAUGUGGGAAAGGAGAGAUGAGAGACCGGGGGUCAAUCUGGGCUAAGCCCCGCUGGUGCCAGCGGACUCCCCGGGACCCCAAGCGCCCCCGCCGUCUCCCGAAAAGCCUCCCCCCAGUCUCCGCCUGACAGCGAUGACAUCAUCAAACGGCAUCCACGAGGAUGACUCCGCGUUCGGCUGCUGCUCGGCUGACGUCAAGAAGAAGAAAAAUCGUCAAAAUCCGACAUCCUCCCUAGGGGGAGUCCCGGCCUGGCAAAAAUAAGCUUAUUUUAAGCAUGCGGAAGAAGCAGCGAGGAUGACAAGGCAAGUCCAAGUGGAUGUGGGAAAAGUGGAUGGAGACUUUGAGGAGGUGACCGGCGAUGAGCACAUGACAGGAGGAGCAGACGAGACAAGAAAAGUCCAAAAAAGAAAAGUCACGGGGAGAAAAAAAAAACAAUGAGAGGCGACGAGAGUGAUGAGGUGAGGUUGAGCCCGAGCGAAACUUCAACAGCGUUCGUAACGUCACAACCACUAUGCCAUCGUUUUCACAUUCACGUUGGGAUCUCACAAGAGAUGCUGGUUCUCCCCCAUCCUUUUUUUUCCCUAAUUUUUUUUAGAGAGUAAGUGAUCUUAGCUCACAACAGAACAUCUCA